GAUGAAGAACGUAGCGAAAUGCGAUAAGUAAUGUGAAUUGCAGAAUUCAGUGAAUCACCGAAUCUUUGAACGCAUCUUGCGCUCCUUGGUAUUCUGAGGAGCAUGCCUGUUUGAGUGUCAUUAAAUUCUCAACUACACUGACUUUGAAUUGGUGUGGCUUGGAUUUGGGGGGAAAAUUGUUGUGGGCUUUUUGUAUAGUCUGCUCCCCUGAAAUUGAUUAGCGGUACCUUUGUGGAACUGUCUACAGGUGUGAUAAUUAUCUACAUCUUAGACAUCUGCUGGAAUGCUGCUCUCUAAACCUUACUUGUAUUGACAAUCUUGACCUCAAAUCAGGUAGGACUACCCGCUGAACUUAAGCAUAUCAAUAAGCGGAGGA
rnacentral:misc_RNA from 1 species